rnacentral:miRNA from 18 species
ACAGGCACGGCCGGUUUGAGC